GAAUGCUGACAUAAGUAACGAUAAAGCGGGUGAAAAGCCCGCUCGCCGGAAGACCAAGGGUUCCUGUCCAACGUUAAUCGGGGCAGGGUGAGUCGACCCCUAAGGCGAGGCCGAAAGGCGUAGUCGAUGGGAAACGGGUUAAUAUUCCCGUACUUGGUGUUACUGCGAAGGGGGGACGGAGAAGGCUAUGUUGGCCGGGCGACGGUUGUCCCGGUUUAAGCGUGUAGGUGUGUGUUCCAGGUAAAUCCGGUUCACUUUAACACUGAGGCGUGACGACGAGGCACUACGGUGCUGAAGCAACAAAUGCCCUGCUUCCAGGAAAAGCCUCUAAGCAUCAGGUAACACGAAAUCGUACCCCAAACCGACACAGGUGGUCAGGUAGAGAAUACCAAGGCGCUUGAGAGAACUCGGGUGAAGGAACUAGGCA
rnacentral:rRNA from 1 species